AGCAAUAGGGCUAGUAUAUUCGGUGUAUGGAAGGACUGUAAGGUGUACAUGUCCAACUGGCAGGUGUCAUCUGACCUUGACCUCAUUUUCAUGGUUCAGUGGUUAUAGUUAAAUUUUUGUGUUUUGGUCUGUUUUUCUCAUACUAUAUGCAAUAGGUCUACUAUAUUUGUUGUAUGGAAUGAUUGUAAGGUGUACAUGUCUAGCGGGCAGAUGUCAUGUGACCUUGACCUCAUUUUCAUAGUUCAGUGGUCAAAGUUAAGUUUUUGAGUUUUGGUCUUUUUAUCUAAUACUAUAUGCCAUAGGUCAACUAUAUUUGGUGUAUGGAAAUAUUUUAUGAUCUUUAUGUCAGUCACGCAGGUUUUAUUUGACCGUGACCUCAUUUUCACGGUUCAUUGCACAGUGUUAAAUUUUUGUGUUUUGGUCAAUUUUUCUUAAACUAUAAGUAAUGGG
rnacentral:lncRNA from 1 species